rnacentral:tRNA from 1 species
GCCCGGCUAGCUCAAUCGGUAGAGCGUAAGACUCUUACGACAAGAGAUACAAUCUUAAGGCUGUGGGUUCGACCCCCACGUCGGGCU